rnacentral:rRNA from 1 species
UACGUAGGAUGCAAGCGUUAUCCGGAAUUAUUGGGCGUAAAGAGUUCGUAGGUGGCAUGUUAAGUUGAAUGUUAAAUCUCAGGGCUCAACUCUGGGGCUGCAUUCAAUACUGGCAAGCUCGAGGUAUGGAGAGGUAAGCGGAAUUAGUAGUGUAGCGGUGAAAUGCGUAGAUAUUACUAAGAACACCAAUGGCGAAGGCAGCUUACUGGCCAUAUCCUGACACUGAGGAACGACAGCGUGGGGAGCGAACAGG